GACGAAGGAUGCAAGCGUUAUCCGGAUUCAUUGGGUUUAAAGGGAGCGUAGGUGGUCUUAUAAGUCAGUGGUGAAAUCUCUGGCUUAACCCAGAAAUCGCCAUUGAUACUGUAGGACUUGAGUAUAGUUGCCGUUGGCGGAAUAUGACAUGUAGUGGUGAAAUACAUAGAGAUGUCAUAGAACACCGAUUGCGAAGGCAGCUAACGAAACUAUAACUGACACUGAGGCUCGAAAGUGUGGGGAUCAAACAGG
rnacentral:rRNA from 1 species